GACGAACGCUGGCGGCGUGCUUAACACAUGCAAGUCGAACGGAAAGGCCCUGCUUUUGUGGGGUGCUCGGGUGGCGAACGGGUGAGUAACACGUGAGUAACCUGCCCUUGACUUUGGGAUAACUUCAGGAAACUGGGGCUAAUACCGGAUAGGAGCUCCUGCUGCAUGGUGGGGGUUGGAAAGUUUCGGCGGUUGGGGAUGGACUCGCGGCUUAUCAGCUUGUUGGUGGGGGAGUGGCUUACCAAGGCUUUGGCGGGUAGCCGGCCUGAGAGGGUGACCGGCCACAUUGGGACUGAGAUACGGCCCAGACUCCUACGGGAGGCAGCAGUGGGGAAUAUUGCACAAUGGGCGGAAGCCUGAUGCAGCAACGCCGCGUGCGGGAUGACGGCCUUCGGGUUGUAAACCGCUUUCGCCUGUGACGAAGCGUGAGUGACGGUAAUGGGUGAAGAAGCACCGGCUAACUACGUG
rnacentral:rRNA from 1 species